ensembl:lncRNA
CUUGAACUUUGAUCAGAAUCUCCCCUGCUUUUUGUUCCUCCCUAGUGACGUCACCGACUCGCGCAGCGGCGGUGCUACCCUCCGGGAAGCGGAGAACCAGUCCAGUGUCUCCUCCGCCGACCGCGUCCUUCGGCAGUGUUGUGUUUGUUUUUAGUGUGAAAACACCCUCAACGAAACACGAACGUUCGGGAAAUCUGCGAGUUGGUCUUAGUGGAGUUUGUCGGAGUUUGUAAGAAGUUGUGCUAGUUGUUGGGAGACAGAACCGAGGAGGAGGAGAAAUGUUGCUGGUGUUGUUUUGAACCAGCUCCAUUUUCCUCCGGAGAGAGCGGGGGGAGACAGAAGAUAGACAGUAGAAGGAAAGGAGAGAUGGCCGAAGCGCGGACAGACGAGGAAGAGGAGGGUGGACUGGAGACGUCGGAAGAACCAGUGGUUCGCCGACAACCGAGGCCAGGCGCCGGUGGAGCACUGCCAGCGUGGGAGACUCUGGGAGAGGGAUGCAGUCAUGUUGUUUUAAGAGAGAGAGAGAGAGAGAGAGAGAGAGACACGACCACGACCAAUCAGAAGAUCAGGGAGCAGAGAGGGGCUCUAGGGAGAGGCGGACGACACGUUGCUGUGGUCUUGUGGAGUUUGGGAGUUUCUGCUUGUUGCUGUGCUUUUAGCUUUUAGCUCGUACGAGAGAUCGCCCUAACAGACGUAAGCCAGAACAUCGUCACAGGGGCCUCUCUCGUCCAUCAGAGCUGUC